rnacentral:rRNA from 1 species
ACGCACGCUGGCGGCGUGCUUAACACCUGCAAGUCGAACGGAAAGGCCCUGCUUUUGUGGGGUGCUCGAGUGGCGAACGGGUGAGUAGCACGUGAGUAACCUGCCCUUGACUUUGGGAUAACUUCAGGAAACUGGGGCUAAUACCGGAUAGGAGCUCCUGCUGCAUGGUGGGGGUUGGAAAGUUUCGGCGGUUGGGGAUGGACUCGCGGCUUAUCAGCUUGUUGGUGGGGUAGUGGCUUACCAAGGCUUUGACGGGUAGCCGGCCUGAGAGGGUGACCGGCCACAUUGGGACUGAGAUACGGCCCAGACUCCUACGGGAGGCAGCAGUGGGGAAUAUUGCACAAUGGGCGGAAGCCUGAUGCAGCAACGCCGCGUGCGGGAUGACGGCCUUCGGGUUGUAAACCGCUUUCGCCUGUGACGAAGCGUGAGUGACGGUAAUGGGUAAAGAAGCACCGGCUAACUACGUG